rnacentral:rRNA from 1 species
CGGGUGAGUAAUGUCUGGGAAACUGCCUGAUGGAGGGGGAUAACUACUGGAAACGGUAGCUAAUACCGCAUAACGUCGCAAGACCAAAGAGGGGGACCUUCGGGCCUCUUGCCAUCGGAUGUGCCCAGAUGGGAUUAGCUAGUAGGUGGGGUAAUGGCUUACCUAGGCGACGAUCCCUAGCUGGUCUGAGAGGAUGAUCAGCCACACUGGGACUGAGACACGGCCCAG